rnacentral:rRNA from 1 species
AGAGUUUGAUCAUGGCUCAGAUUGAACGCUGGCGGCAGGCCUAACACAUGCAAGUCGAGCGGCAGCACGGGAAGCUUGCUUCCUGGUGGCGAGCGGCGGACGGGUGAGUAAUGCAUAGGAAUCUGCCCGGUAGUGGGGGAUAACCUGGGGAAACCCAGGCUAAUACCGCAUACGCCCUACGGGGGAAAGCAGGGGCUCUUCGGACCUUGCGCUAUCGGAUGAGCCUAUGUCGGAUUAGCUGGUUGGUGAGGUAAUGGCUCACCAAGGCGACGAUCCGUAGCUGGUCUGAGAGGAUGAUCAGCCACAUCGGGACUGAGACACGGCCCGAACUCCUACGGGAGGCAGCAGUGGGGAAUAUUGGACAAUGGGCGCAAGCCUGAUCCAGCCAUGCCGCGUGUGUGAAGAAGGCCCUCGGGUUGUAAAGCACUUUCAGUGGGGAAGAAAGCCUGGUGGUUAAUACCCGUCAGGAAGGACAUCACCCACAGAAGAAGCACCGGCUAACUCCGUGCCAGCAGCCGCGGUAAUACGGAGGGUGCGAGCGUUAAUCGGAAUUACUGGGCGUAAAGCGCGCGUAGGUGGCUUGAUAAGCCGGUUGUGAAAGCCCCGGGCUCAACCUGGGAACGGCAUCCGGAACUGUCAGGCUAGAGUGCAGGAGAGGAAGGUAGAAUUCCCGGUGUAGCGGUGAAAUGCGUAGAGAUCGGGAGGAAUACCAGUGGCGAAGGCGGCCUUCUGGACUGACACUGACACUGAGGUGCGAAAGCGUGGGUAGCAAACAGGAUUAGAUACCCUGGUAGUCCACGCCGUAAACGAUGUCGACUAGCCGUUGGGUCCUUCGCGGACUUUGUGGCGCAGUUAACGCGAUAAGUCGACCGCCUGGGGAGUACGGCCGCAAGGUUAAAACUCAAAUGAAUUGACGGGGGCCCGCACAAGCGGUGGAGCAUGUGGUUUAAUUCGAUGCAACGCGAAGAACCUUACCUACCCUUGACAUCCUGCGAACCCUUCGGAGACGAAGGGGUGCCUUCGGGAACGCAGAGACAGGUGCUGCAUGGCUGUCGUCAGCUCGUGUUGUGAAAUGUUGGGUUAAGUCCCGUAACGAGCGCAACCCUUGUCCUUAUUUGCCAGCGAGUAAUGUCGGGAACUCUAAGGAGACUGCCGGUGACAAACCGGAGGAAGGUGGGGACGACGUCAAGUCAUCAUGGCCCUUACGGGUAGGGCUACACACGUGCUACAAUGGUCGGUACAAAGGGUUGCGAACUUGCGAAAGUGAGCUAAUCCCAGAAAGCUGAUCUCAGUCCGGAUCGGAGUCUGCAACUCGACUCCGUGAAGUCGGAAUCGCUAGUAAUCGU